GAUGAACGCUAGCGGCAGGCUUAAUACAUGCAAGUCGAGGGGCAACAGGGGUAGCAAUACCUGCUGGCGACCGGCAAACGGGUGCGGAACACGUACAGAACCUUCCUUUAAGCGGGGGAUAGCCCAUAGAAAUGUGGAUUAAUACCCCAUAGUAAUAUUUGGUGGCAUCAUUAGAUAUUUAAAGAUUUAUCACUUAAAGAUGGCUGUGCGGCUGAUUAGGUAGUUGGUUGGGGUAACGGCCCACCAAGCCAGCGAUCAGUAACUGGUGUGAGAGCACGACCAGUCACACGGGCACUGAGACACGGGCCCGACUCCUACGGGAGGCAGCAGUAAGGAAUAUUGGUCAAUGGACGCAAGUCUGAACCAGCCAUGCCGCGUGAAGGAUAGA
rnacentral:rRNA from 1 species